GGUGAUAUUCAUCUAACUAGUCUCUGUCUGACAGGUGAUAUUCCUCUAACUAGUCUCUGUCUGACAGGUGAUAUUCCUCUAACUAGUCUCUGUCUGACAGGUGAUAUUCAUCUAACUAGUCUCUGUCUGACAGGUGAUAUUCCUCUCCUCUAACUAGUCUCUGUCUGACAGGUGAUAUUCCUCUCCUCUAACUAGUCUCUGUCUGACAG